ensembl:lncRNA
UGAGCUGGAAGAAGAGCACCCACGCACUGCUAGUACACUGCCACCUACUGUGACAGCACAAAAGAGAAGUGCAGCCUGACUAAUUCACAGAAACAAUGUGAAAAACUCCGUAAUGAUGGCUUUUCACUCUGUCCCCCACCCCCCUCGCCAUCGCUGUGCUUGGUGCUGAGUGAAGGCAGCAGCUGCCAAGUCGAAGUGCCUGCUACCUGAACUGCAAAGAGAAAGCCGAGCCAGUAUUUAGUGUGUAUGUAUGUGAGAGAGUACCAGGGGAAGCCAGCUGCCUCUGUGCUGGGCAACAUGCCAGAGUGACGAGGAAGAGGCAGAAUCUGACCUCCUGACCUCCAAGCAGCAUCCUCUGACCGAGUUCUCAGCCUUAUUCCACCUUUAUUUUAUUUGUUUUAAUUAUUCACAAUGUACAGAUUUACCAGGG